GCUCUCAAUGCUCUGUGCAUAACUCACUAGAACGCGAACUAUCGUCGUGGACGGAUGUGCUUGCGCGCAAAAGUCAACGAAUAUUCGGAAAAAAUUAAAUACAAUAUUUCCCAAGUGAAAGAGAAAAUUCAUUUUUAAGUAGAAAAGUUCUGCUAAAAACAAAAACAAAUAUAACACAUUUACAACAGAAGUGCCACAGCAUCGUAAAAGAAAUAUUUAUCGUUAUAUUUAUCGAUAACGCUUACGAUUUGCCACUCGUAAAUAUAUAAUUACAAAUAUAUAAUUGCUGCGCUGGCUUAGAAAUCGUUGUAACUGUUUCACUGAAUGAACGUUUAGUGCCAUGCUUGUAUGAGGCUUUAUAAACUACUACUACAACUAGGAAAAGCAAAUAAAAAAUUAAGAAAAUAAAAUAAAAUAAAAAAAAAAUUAAAAUAAAAACUCAAAAAAACUAAAGUAAAAACUAAAACUAAAAAAUAAAAUAAAAAACAAGUACAGAUCUCGAAUUUGGAUUACAAAUUUAGCUUCGAACGAGGUCAAUAAAAUUACGCAGCACAGUGUGAUAAAACUUAUAGAUAACGAGUAUUAACUUUGAAGAUUUUGGAAAGACGCUAGCCUCUUGAUUGCUAAUACGCUUUUCCAACCCCGUUCCGCUAACAAAUCGGCCAAAUGAGUGUCGAAGAGGACGAACACGUUCUACAAACUUAAAAGUCCAUCAACUAAUUACAAUAAUAACAAGCUUGUAAUGGACUGGUUAUUGGCAACGCCACAGAUACACAGCGCUUUCUCAUCAUUGGGUUCCCUCGAGGGGGAUACCUACGUUGUUGGUCCCAAUGCGUUAUCAAUCCUGGAUGAAAUAAACUAUAAGCUCACCUAUGAAGAUCAAACGUUGCGCACAUUCCGCCGUGCCAUCGGUUUCGGUCAAAAUGUGCGUUCCGAUUUGAUACCGCUACUGGAGAAUACAAAGGAUGAUGCUGUGCUCGACUCGGUCAUACGCAUUUUGGUUAAUUUGACAGUGCCUGUAGAGUGCCUUUUCUCGGUAGAUGUUAUGUAUCGCACCGAAGUCGGUCGCCAUACCAUCUUCGAGCUGAACAAGUUGCUCUAUACGAGUAAGGAGGCCUUCACCGAUCCGAAGAGCACAAAAUCGGUUGUAGAGUAUAUGAAAUACUUGUUGGAGUCCGAUCCGAAAUUGUCACUGCAAAAAUGUGACAAAAUCAAUAAUUGCCUGUUAUUGCUGCGCAAUGUGUUGCACAUACCCGAGACGAAUGUGAACUUCGUAAUGCCGUUGGCGCAUUCCCAGCAAGGUGGUUCACAUCCGGUGUCGAUGCAGAAUGCGAUACUUUGGAAUCUCUUCAUACAGAGUAUUGACAAGCUGCUGCUUUACCUGAUGACUUGUCCGCAUCGUGCUUUUUGGGGUGUAACUAUGGUGCAACUGAUCGCUUUGAUGUACAAAGAUCAACAUGUCAGCACGUUGCAGAAACUUUUGAAUUUGUGGUUUGAGGCGUCGCUAUCGGAGAGUUCGGAGGAUAAUGAGAGCAAUACCUCAGCGCCGAAACAGGGUAGUGGCGACUCGAGCCCGAUGUUAACGUCGGAUCCCACAUCCGAUUCAUCGGACAAUGGUAGUAACGGUUGUAAGAAUGAGUGUGCCGAAGAGCGACGUCAGGCAUUGCGCGAGGAGGCGACCGUAGCCACACUGCAGGAGGUUAGCCGCAAAGGUCACGAAUAUCAAAACUCGAUGAUGUGUGAUACGCAUGUGAAGAAGGAGGUCGACGACGUCGACUCGGGCAGCACGGACAAUAACGGCGAGAGUGAACAGAUGUGCACGUCCAUGUUGACUACAACACGUAGUACUAAUACAUCGCCGACAUCCAUUAAAGUCGAAGCCAUGGAUGAGAUGGCCGAUGGUGACAGUGAAGCUGGUUGCUCGGGAAAAACUAACGGUGACUCACCACAUUCUUGUGAUAUGAUUGGUGAGAGCAGCAACCAACAACAACAACAACAACAACAACAUAACCAACAACCAACUGAACCCAAACAAAGCACUACCACUGCAGAGGCGAAAAAAGCUGACGCUGAUGCGGUUAAAUUUAAGGCGCCCACCGGUAUCAUAAAACCGAAGCCACUCUCGCAAAUGUUGGCCGACAUGCACGAAGAGGAAAACGAUCCGCCACCACAGAAAAUGUUCCAGAAAGUGCCACACUCGGGCCAAUUGAAUUUGACUAAGGGCAAGAGUUGUCCGCAAAAGCGUGAGUGUCCCUCUUCACAGUCGGAGCUCUCGGACUGCGGUUAUGGCACGCAAGUGGAAAAUCAAGAAUCCAUAUCCACGUCAAGCAAUGAUGAUGAUGGACCACAGGGUAAACCGCAACAUCAGAAGCCACCGUGCAACAGUAAGCAACGCAGCAAGCAACGUAUUGUGAUGGCGAUGGUGGACAAGAAGGAAUUGCGCCGCAAGAAGCUCGUCAAGCGCAGCAAGAGCAGUCUCAUUAAUAUGAAGGGUCUGGUCCAACAUACACCCACCGAUGAGGACAUCUCGAAUUUGUUAAAAGAGUUCACCGUCGACUUUCUACUUAAAGGUUAUGGUUGUCUAGUAGGCGAGUUACACUCGCAGCUGCUCACCAAUAUUAAAAUACCCAUCGAUACAUCGCAUUUCUUUUGGCUGGUUACGUAUUUUCUGAAAUUUGCCGCCCAGCUGGAACUCGAUAUGGAACAUAUAAAUGCGGUGCUCACCUUCGAUGUCAUCAGUUAUCUAACCUAUGAGGGCGUGUCUUUGUGCGAACAAUUGGAACUGAAUUCCCGUCAAGAGGGUAGUGAUUUGAAACCAUAUCUGAGACGCAUGCAUUUGGUCGUAACGGCUAUACGCGAGUUUUUACAAGCCAUCGAAACCUACAAGAAAGUAACACAUUUGAGUGAGGAUGAUCGCUUACAUUUGCGACGUCUACAGACACAAAUCAGUUCCACCGAAGAUUUGCGUUGUCUAUUCGUCUUACUUUUACGACGAUUCAACCCAAAUCUACACACCAAACAGUAUCUACAAGAUUUGGUAGUAACCAAUCAUCUGCUACUGCUAAUACUGGAUUUUAUAACACAAACCGAAGGUGAUACCAGCAUCAAGAUGACAGAGCACAUUUCACAAUUCGCCACGCUCGAGGUGAUGAACUAUUAUGGCAUGCUACUGGAGGACUUCAACAACAAUGGCGAGUUUGUUAAUGAUUGUAUAUUCACGAUGAUGCAUCAUGUGGGCGGUGAUCUCGGACAGAUCGGCACAUUAUUCCAACCGAUUAUAUUGAAAACCUUCUCACGCAUUUGGGAGGCUGAUUAUGAGCUUUGUGAUGACUGGUCUGAUCUAAUUGAGUAUGUCAUACAUAAAUUCAUAAACACACCGCAAAAGAGUCCCUUGUCUUUGCCAAAAACCUCACUGACCGAGCUAACCAAGGAACACAACCUCGAAAACACAGUGUGCGCCUGGACACAAGAAGAAAUGGACACCCUAUAUUGGUAUUAUGUGCAGAGCAAGAAGAAUAAUGAUGUAGUUGGUAAGAUCGUGAAACUGUUCAGUAAUAAUGGCAAUAAGCAAAAAUCACGUAUCUCGAUUAUACAGCAACUGUUGCAACAGGACAUUAUAACCUUAGUGGAGUACGAUGACCUUAUGAAAUUCGAAGAUGCCGAGUAUCAACGCGCUUUACUAACCACACCAACUUCGACGUCCACAGAAUCGGGCAUUGAGCUGAAGAACUCUUCCACUUUUGCUAAGCCCUCCGAUGAUAUACAGAUUUUACGUGAUCUUAUUGUUAAGGAGAAUAAGGAGAAACAUUUAGUUUGGUUGCAAAAGAUAUUGCUGGAAUGUUGUUACAUCAAAUUAAUUUUGAAGAAUUGCUUGCAACGUGAAGAUCGUCAGAAUUUACAAUACGUUAUGGAACCGGUAGCUUAUCAUUAUAUAUUGAAAAACAAAUCCAUACCGGUUGUACAGUGGAACAGCGAUCAGGCGACAACGAUGCUCUAUCAACCAUUCGUAUUGCUGCUACACAAGCUGGGCUUCCAGCUACCGGCGGAUGCCGGUUCGAUAUUCGCACGCAUACCGGACUUCUGGACCGCUGAAAUGAUGUUUAGCUUGGCGCGCAAGUUAGGACCCCUAGACAAAUUGUUGAUCAAGUUCGAUAUGAGUCAGUUUGAGGAAGCAAAUGCAAUAGAGUUGCAGCGUUGCCAUCAUGCAACAGCGGCGCGUGGUUCGCUCAGCUCAAUGUCCAGCCUGGAGAUGGAUACCGGCGGCAGCGAUGAGUACACGACAUUGGUAGCAAGCGCAAUGGAAAAUGCCAACGUGAAUGGUACUGGAAAUGGAAAUGUCAACGGAACUGGCACUACAACUGGCAGAGUGAGCAGUAAUAGGCGUUCCAGUAGCGGCAGUGGCAGCAUGUUGGCGCCAGUACCCGAGGUAGAUGCGAAAUUGGAGAAGGCGAGCGCGGCUAGCGAUGUAUUUGCUGUGCCAAAAUCAAAGCACUGCAAUCCGAUUAUAAGAUUUACACCCGACCCAGCACCAUUGCCGCCAGUGCCAAAUUGGCUGCAGUUGGUGAUGCGAAGCAAAAUAAAUACGAAUGUCCCAGCGACAACGGAAACCGCCCACAAUAAUAUUAAUAAUAAUAACAAUAACGCAGUAUCAGCAACAACAACAAGUGAAAGGUUCCGCGCUUACAAUGAUGCUUUCGCACAAGCACAUGUAGAAAGAAUGCAAUAUUAAGAUGAUAAAAAUUAAACGAAAUAUGUGUGAAGUGGUGGGAAGUCGUUGUAUAAAUAUAUAUACAUAUACAAACGCACGCUUUGAAGUCUAUAAAUUGAUUCUAUAUAAAGAAAUAUACGAAAUCUUCUGACGUUACAAACAUCCAAGAUGUACAGCUCGCGUACAUACGGAAGCAAAUAUACAUAAAUAUAUCUCUUUUCAAUACAUAUACAUUACUAGAUAUGAAAAUUUUAAAUGAAAAUUUAAUACGCGGACAGCAAAAACAAAAAGAAAGCGGGAGCAUUGUCAUGCAAAAAUGUACUUGUACACUAAACGGCGCUACGCCUCGGCCAGCUGUCGUUCUAUCCAUUCGCCACAACAACAACGCCAACACUGGUGACAACGGCCUCAGCCAUAACGCCAACAACAACAACAGCAACAAUAACAACCAUACAACAACAAAAUGUUUUAGUUACAGCAACAACACCAACGCUGGCUUUAGCGCCAGC
rnacentral:misc_RNA from 1 species